rnacentral:lncRNA from 1 species
UCCCCGUGUGUCACCAUCACCCCGUGUCACCCGGGGGGGGGCCCCCCGUGGGCCUCGUGUCACCCCGUGUGUCCCCGUGUCACCAUCACCCCGUGUCACCCCGGGGGGGGCCCCCCGUGUCCGUGUCCCCCCCCCACUGUCCCUCUGUGUCACAUCCCCGUGGCCGUUGUCCCCACGUUGUCCCCGGGGCCACCUCGCUCCACGUCACCCUCCCGCGCCGUGUCCCCGUGUCACGGCCUCGUGUCACAUCCCCGUGUCACGGCCUCGUGUCACGUCCUGGUGCCAUCACGUCCCUGUGUCACGGCCUCGUGUCACAUCCCCGUGUCACAUCUGGGUGCCAUCUUGUCCUCGUGUCACGUCCCAGUGCCAUCUUGUCCCCGUGUCACGUCCUGGUGCCAUCCCCGUGCCAUAUCCCCGUGUCACAUCUUGGUGGCAUCUCUGUCACGUCCUCGUGCCACGUCCUGGUGCCAUCACAUCCCCGUGUCACAUCCUCAUGUCAUCCCCGUGUCACAUCCGAGUGCCAUCUUGUCCCCGUAUCACAUCCCCAUGUCACGUCCUCGUGCCAUCACAUCCCUGUGUCACGUCCUCGUGUCACGUCCUUGUGUCAUGUCCUGGUGCCAUCUUGUCCCUGUGGCACAUCCCCGUGUCACAUCUUGGUGGCAUCUCUGUCACAUCUCCGUGUCACGUCCUGGUGUCACCUCGUCCCCGUGUCACGUCCUCGUGUCACAUUCUGGUGCCAUCUUGUCCCCGUGUCAUGUCCUCGUGUCAUGUCCUGGUGCCAUCACAUCCCCGUGUCAUGUUCUCGUGUCACAUCCCCGUGUCACAUCUUGGUGGCAUCUCUGUCACGUCCUCGUGUCACGUCCUGGUGCCAUCUUGUCCCCGUGUCACGUCCUGGUGCCAUCACAUCCCCGUCUCACGUCCUCGUGCCACAUCCUGGUGCCAUCAUAUCCCCGUGUCACAUCCGGGUGCCAUCCUGUCCUCGUGCCAUGUCCUGGUGCCAUCUUGUCCGCGUGUCACGUCCUCGUGUCACAUCCCCAUGUCACGUCCAGGUGCCAUCUUGUCCUCGUGCCACAUCCUGGUGCCAUCUCCACGUCCCCGUGUCACAUCUGGGUGCCAUCUUGUCCUCGUGCCACGUCCUGGUGCCAUCACAUCCCCGUGUCACGUCCUCGUGCCACAUCCCAGUGCCAUCUCAUCCCCAUGUCACGUCCCCGUGUCACGUCCCCAAGCCGUGACCCCGUGUCACUUCCCCCUGCCAUGUCCUCGUGCCGUGUCCUCGUGCCACGUCCUCGUGUCACGUCCUCGUGUCACGUCCCCACGUGUCACGUCCUGGUGCCACCUCCUCGUGUCACAUCUUCGUGUCACGUCCUCGUGGAAGGGGGGGUUGGGGACACGAGGGAGGGGACACACGAGGACACACGAGGACACACUGGGACAGACUGGGAUCCAGGAGGACACGAGGGGACGGGUUCCACCAGGACGUGUUGGGACACACUGGGAUGUACUGGGACGCACUGGGGACACACACGGAUGCCCCGGACAUGCCGUGACACGCUUAGGACACGCCAAGGCCCACGGUGACACGUGGGGACACACCGGGAUGCCCCGGGACACGCCAAGGUGACAAAGCUGUGACACGUGGGGACGCAGCAGGACACGGGUGUCCACGUGGUGGCCAUGGUGUCACGGGUGGGUGUCACGGCCACCACGGGUGUCACAGGUGGGGGUCACGGCCACCGGGGUGUCACUUGUAGGUGCCACGGCCACCAGGGGUGUCACAGAUGGGUGUCACAGCCACCACGGGGGGUUCCACAGCCACCAGGGUGUCACUUGUAGGUGCCAUGGCCACCAUGGGUGUCACUUGUAGGUGCCAUGGCCACCAGAGUGUCACUUGUAGGUGCCACGGCCACCAUGAAUGCAUGUCAUGGCCACCAGAGUGUCACAGUUGGGUGUCAUGGCCACCACGGUGUCACUUGUAGGUGCCACGGCCACCACAGAUGUCACAGUUGGGUGUCAUGGCCACCAGUGUCACUGAGGGGGGUCAAAGCCACCACAGAGGGGGUGUCACGGCCACCAGAGUGUCACAGUUGGGUGUCACGGCCACCAGAGUGUCACUUGUAGGAGCCAUGGCCACGAGGGUGGCACAGGUGGGUGCCACGGCCACCAGAGUGUCACUUGUAGGUGCCACGGCCACCACAGAUGGGUGUCAUGGCCACCAGAGUGUCACAGUUGGGUGCCACGGCCACCAGGCUGCCACAGUUGGGUGCCACGGCCACCACGGGGGGGUUCCAUGGCCACCAGAGUGUCACUUGUAGGAGCCACAGCCACCACGAGUGGGUGCCACGGCCACCAGAGUGUCACUUGUAGGAGCCAUGGCCACCAGGGGUGUCACAGAUGGGUGUCAUGGCCACCAGGGGUGUCACUUGUAGGUGUCACGGCCACCAUGAGUAGGUGCCAUGGCCACCACAGCGUCACUUGUAGGAGCCAUGGCCACCAGAGUGUCACUGAGAGGGGUCAUGGCCACCACAGUUGGGUGCCACAGCCACCAGAGUGUCACAGUUGGGUGUCACGGCCACCAGAGUGUCACUGAGAGGGGUCACGGCCACCACAGCGUCUCUCGUAGG